GGUUAAGCGACUAAGCGUACACGGUGGAUGCCCUGGCAGUCAGAGGCGAUGAAGGACGUGCUAAUCUGCGAUAAGCGUCGGUAAGGUGAUAUGAACCGUUAUAACCGGCGAUUUCCGAAUGGGGAAACCCAGUGUGUUUCGACACACUAUCAUUAACUGAAUCCAUAGGUUAAUGAGGCGAACCGGGGGAACUGAAACAUCUAAGUACCCCGAGGAAAAGAAAUCAACCGAGAUUCCCCCAGUAGCGGCGAGCGAACGGGGAGGAGCCCAGAGCCUGAAUCAGUGUGUGUGUUAGUGGAAGCGUCUGGAAAGGCGCGCGAUACAGGGUGACAGCCCCGUACACAAAAAUGCACAUGCUGUGAGCUCGAUGAGUAGGGCGGGACACGUGGUAUCCUGUCUGAAUAUGGGGGGACCAUCCUCCAAGGCUAAAUACUCCUGACUGACCGAUAGUGAACCAGUACCGUGAGGGAAAGGCGAAAAGAACCCCGGCGAGGGGAGUGAAAAAGAACCUGAAACCGUGUACGUACAAGCAGUGGGAGCACGCUUAGGCGUGUGACUGCGUACCUUUUGUAUAAUGGGUCAGCGACUUAUAUUCUGUAGCAAGGUUAACCGAAUAGGGGAGCCGAAGGGAAACCGAGUCUUAACUGGGCGUUAAGUUGCAGGGUAUAGACCCGAAACCCGGUGAUCUAGCCAUGGGCAGGUUGAAGGUUGGGUAACACUAACUGGAGGACCGAACCGACUAAUGUUGAAAAAUUAGCGGAUGACUUGUGGCUGGGGGUGAAAGGCCAAUCAAACCGGGAGAUAGCUGGUUCUCCCCGAAAGCUAUUUAGGUAGCGCCUCGUGAAUUCAUCUCCGGGGGUAGAGCACUGUUUCGGCAAGGGGGUCAUCCCGACUUACCAACCCGAUGCAAACUGCGAAUACCGGAGAAUGUUAUCACGGGAGACACACGGCGGGUGCUAACGUCCGUCGUGAAGAGGGAAACAACCCAGACCGCCAGCUAAGGUCCCAAAGUCAUGGUUAAGUGGGAAACGAUGUGGGAAGGCCCAGACAGCCAGGAUGUUGGCUUAGAAGCAGCCAUCAUUUAAAGAAAGCGUAAUAGCUCACUGGUCGAGUCGGCCUGCGCGGAAGAUGUAACGGGGCUAAACCAUGCAC
rnacentral:rRNA from 1 species